GGUUCUGUAGCUCAGUGGUAGAGCUCCUGCUUCGUAUGCAGGAAGACCUGGGUACGACUUCCGGCUGCUUCC
rnacentral:tRNA from 1 species